rnacentral:rRNA from 1 species
CCUACGGGUGGCAGCAGUGGGGAAUAUUGCACAAUGGGCGAAAGCCUGAUGCAGCAACGCCGCGUGAAGGAAGAAGGUUUUCGGAAUGUAAACCUCUGUUCUUAGGGAAGAAUAAUGACGGUAACUAAGGAGCAAGCCACGGCUAACUACGUGCCAGCAGCCGCGGUAAUACGUAGGUGGCAAGCGUUGUCCGGAAUUACUGGGUGUAAAGGGAGCGUAGGCGGGAAGGCAAGUCAGAUGUGAAAACUACGGGCUUAACCUGUGGACUGCAGUUGAAACUGGCUAUCUAGAGUGAAGGAGAGGUUGGCGGAAUUCCGAGUGUAGCGGUGAAAUGCGUAGAUAUUCGGAGGAACACCAGUGGCGAAGGCGGCCAACUGGGCUUUAACUGACGCUGAGGCUCGAAAGUGUGGGGAGCAAACAGGAUUAGAUACCCGAGUAGUC